rnacentral:rRNA from 1 species
CCUACGGGGGGCAGCAGUGAGGAAUAUUGGUCAAUGGACGAGAGUCUGAACCAGCCAAGUAGCGUGAAGGAUGACUGCCCUAUGGGUUGUAAACUUCUUUUAUAAAGGAAUAAAACGAGGCACGUGUGCCUUUUUGCAUGUACUUUAUGAAUAAGGAUCGGCUAACUCCGUGCCAGCAGCCGCGGUAAUACGGAGGAUCCGAGCGUUAUCCGGAUUUAUUGGGUUUAAAGGGAGCGUAGAUGGGUUGUUAAGUCAGUUGUGAAAGUUUGCGGCUCAACCGUAAAAUUGCAAUUGAUACUGGCAGUCUUGAGUACAGUUGAGGUAGGCGGAAUUCGUGGUGUAGCGGUGAAAGGCUUAGAUAUCGCGAAGAACCCCGAUUGCGAAGGCAGCUUACUAAACUGUGACUGACAUUGAUGCUCGAAAGUGUGGGUAUCAAACAGGAUUAGAUACCCCUGUAGUC